rnacentral:rRNA from 1 species
CAGCAGCCGCGGUAAUACGAGGGGGGCAAGCGUUGUUCGGAAUUAUUGGGCGUAAAGGGCGCGUAGGCGGUUUGGCAAGUUUGGUGUGAAAUCUUCGGGCUCAACUCGAAGUCUGCAUCGAAAACUGCCGGGCUUGAGUAUGGGAGAGGUGAGUGGAAUUUCCGGUGUAGCGGUGAAAUGCGUAGAUAUCGGAAGGAACACCUGUGGCGAAAGCGGCUCACUGGACCAUGACUGACGCUGAGGCGCGAAAGCUAGGGGAGCAAACAGGAUUAGAUACCCCUGUAGUCCCUGUCUCUUAUAC